rnacentral:rRNA from 1 species
AGUGAACGCUGGCGGCAGGCCUAACACAUGCAAGUCGAACGGCAGCACAGGGGAGCUUGCACCCUGGGUGGCGAGUGGCGGACGGGUGAGGAAUACAUCGGAAUCUACCCUUUCGUGGGGGAUAACGUAGGGAAACUUACGCUAAUACCGCACACGAUCUGAGGAUGAAAGCAGGGGACCGCAAGGCCUUGCGCGAUUGGAUGAGCCGAUGUCCGAUUAGCUAGUUGGCGGGGUAAAGGCCCACCAAGGCGACGAUCGGUAGCUGGUCUGAGAGGAUGAUCAGCCACACUGGAACUGAGACACGGUCCAGACUCCUACGGGAGGCAGCAGUGGGGAAUACUGGACAAUGGGCGCAAGCCUGAUCCAGCCAUGCCGCGUGUGUGAAGAAGGCCUUCGGGUUGUAAAGCACUUUUGUUGGGAAAGAAAUCCUGUCGGCUAAUACCCGGCUGGGAUGACGGUACCCAAAGAAUAAGCACCGGCUAACUUCGUGCCAGCCGCCGCCGUAA